AGUGAACGCUGGCGGUAGGCCUAACACAUGCAAGUCGAACGGCAGCACAGUAAGAGCUUGCUCUUACGGGUGGCGAGUGGCGGACGGGUGAGGAAUACAUCGGAAUCUACUUUUUCGUGGGGGAUAACGUAGGGAAACUUACGCUAAUACCGCAUACGACCUACGGGUGAAAGCAGGGGAUCUUCGGACCUUGCGCGAUUGAAUGAGCCGAUGUCGGAUUAGCUAGUUGGCGGGGUAAAGGCCCACCAAGGCGACGAUCCGUAGCUGGUCUGAGAGGAUGAUCAGCCACACUGGAACUGAGACACGGUCCAGACUCCUACGGGAGGCAGCAGUGGGGAAUAUUGGGCAAUGGGCGCAAGCCUGAUCCAGCAAUACCGCGUGGGUGAAGAAGGCCUUCGGGUUGUAAAGCCCUUUUGUUGGGAAAGAAAAGCAGCAGGUUAAUACGACGCUGUUCUGACGGUACCCAAAGAAUAAGCACCGGCUAACUUCGUG
rnacentral:rRNA from 1 species